AGCUCCAGUAGCGUAUAUUAAAGUUGUUGCAGUUAAAAAGCUCGUAGUUGGAUUUCUGGUACGCCAGUGCUGACCCUGUUCCAAUAUGGAUAUGUGUGUCGGUCUUUGGCUACCAUCCUUCCAGAGAACUCGUUCUAUCCCUUCACUGGGCCGGGACAGCGAUCUGGAACUUUUACUUUGAAAAAUUAGAGUGUUCAAAGCAGGCUUGCGCUAUGAAUACAUUAGCAUGGAAUAAUAAUCUAGGACUCCGGUUCUAUUUUAUUGGUUUCUAGGACUGGUUUAAUGAUUGAUAGGGAUAGUUGGGGGUGCUAGUAUUCAGCGGCCAGAGGUGAAAUUCUUGGAUUCGCUGAAGACUAACUUAUGCGAAAGCAUUCACCAAGGAUGUCUUCU
rnacentral:rRNA from 1 species